CCCUCCCCUCCGCCGUCUGCUUCUAUUUCACGGACGCCGAUGACCCGCCACCACCGCCGCGGGAAGCCCCGGUGACUCGGUGAGUAAUGAACGCCCUCUUUCCUGGGAUGCGCCGCUCCCGGAUCUCGGACUGCAGGAUUGCGGUUUGGGCUGCUUUGAAUUUGGGAUUUGACGGCCAUGACUUAUCGCAGAUGAGAUCGCCAAACUGUUCCCCAACUUGUACGGCCAGCCUUGGGCCAAGCCGGUUGCAACGAAGGUGCUCAAGAUCGGCGUCGUGCUUUCUGGUGACUAGGUUCUAGGGGGGCACAAUGUGAUCUGCGACAUCUUUGAUAAGUGCGAGUGAUC
rnacentral:lncRNA from 1 species